rnacentral:rRNA from 1 species
ACAGCAGUCGCCGCGGUAAUACAGAGGGUGCAAGCGUUAAUCGGAAUUACUGGGCGUAAAGCGCGCGUAGGUGGUUUGUUAAGUUGGAUGUGAAAGCCCCGGGCUCAACCUGGGAACUGCAUCCAAAACUGGCAAGCUAGAGUACGGUAGAGGGUGGUGGAAUUUCCUGUGUAGAGGUGAAAUGCGUAGAUAUAGGAAGGAACACCAGUGGCGAAGGCGACCACCUGGACUGAUACUGACACUGAGGUGCGAAAGCGUGGGGAGCAAACAGGAUUAGAUACCCCCGUAGUCCCUGUCUCUUAUAC